rnacentral:rRNA from 1 species
UACAGGGGGUGCAAACGUUGCUCGGAAUUAUUGGGCGUAAAGCGCACGUAGGCGGUUCGUUAUGUCAGAUGUGAAAGCCCUUGGCUCAACUGAGGAAGUGCAUCUGAAACUGGCGAGCUAGAGUAUGUAAGAGGGUCGCGGAAUUCCCGGUGUAGAGGUGAAAUUCGUAGAUAUCUGGAGGAACACCGGUGGCGAAGGCGGCAUCCUGGACCGGUAUUGACGCUGAGGCGCGAAAGCCAGGGGAGCAAACGGG